rnacentral:rRNA from 1 species
AGCAUGUGGCUUAAUUUGACUCAACACGGGAAAUCUUACCGGGUCCGGACAUACCGAGGAUUGACAGACUGUUAACUGCAACACAAGCUGCUAAGUUUUAAACUUAAUAGCUCUUUCAUGAUUAUAUGAUAGGUGGUGCAUGGCCGUUCUUAGUUCGUGGAGUGAUCUGUCUGCUUAAUUGCGUUUCAAAAUUUAAACCUGAGCGACAAGGUGCUGCUAUCGAAACUGUCUUUGAGUGUGAACUAUAAGUCUUUUGACUUAUGACCAUCACUCUAGACGUUUAUGUUUUGGUGUUGGCCCUUGAUGCUCAUUUGAACGCAACGGACGUGAUUGCAACCCCUUGUUGAGAUUUAUCCGAUCUCUACGUUCACUGAACCACACUCUUUAGCGAGAGCAGUGGGGAUGUGGAUAAACUCGGGGGACUGCUGACUAUAAACUUUUCUCAAACCAGAGGAAGGUUGCGGCAAUAACAGGUCUGUGAUGCCCUCAGAUGU